rnacentral:rRNA from 1 species
GAUGAACGCUAGCGGCAGGCCUAACACAUGCAAGUCGAGGGAGAAGCCCUUUCGGGGGCAGAAACCGGCGCACGGGUGCGUAACGCGUAUGCAACCUACCUUUCACAGGGGGAUGGCCCGAAGAAAUUUGGAUUAAUACCCCAUAAUAUUAUUGGAUGGCAUCAUUUGAUAAUUAAAACUGCGGUGGUGAAAGAUGGGCAUGCGUCCUAUUAGCUAGUUGGAGUGGUAACGGCACCCCAAGGCUACGAUAGGUAGGGGUCCUGAGAGGGAGAUCCCCCACACUGGUACUGAGACAGGGACCAGACUCCUACGGGAGGCUGCAGUGAGGAAUAUUGGUCAAUGGUCGGAAGACUGAACCAGCCAUGCCGCGUGCAGGAAGAAUGCCUUAUGGGUUGUAAACUGCUUUUAUAUGGGAAGAAUAAGGCGUACGUGUACGUUGAUGACGGUACCAUAUGAAUAAGCAUCGGCUAACUCCGUG